AGAACGAACGCUGGGCGGCAUGCCUAACACAUGCAAGUCGAACGAAGCCUUCGGGCUUAGUGGCGCACGGGUGCGUAACACGUGGGAAUCUGCCCUCAGGUACGGAAUAACUCAGGGAAACUUGAGCUAAUACCGUAUGAUGUCUUCGGACCAAAGAUUUAUCGCCUGAGGAUGAGCCCGCGUCGGAUUAGCUAGUUGGUGGGGUAAAGGCCUACCAAGGCGACGAUCCGUAGCUGGUCUGAGAGGAUGAUCAGCCACACUGGGACUGAGACACGGCCCAGACUCCUACGGGAGGCAGCAGUGGGGAAUAUUGGACAAUGGGCGAAAGCCUGAUCCAGCAAUGCCGCGUGAGUGAAGAAGGCCUUCGGGUUGUAAAGCUCUUUUACCCGGGAAGAUAAUGACUGUACCGGGAGAAUAAGCCCCGGCUAACUCCGUGCCAGCAGCCGCGGUAAUACGGAGGGGGCUAGCGUUGUUCGGAAUUACUGGGCGUAAAGCGCACGUAGGCGGCUUUACAAGUCAGGGGUGAAAGCCCGCGGCUCAACCGCGGAAUUGCCCUUGAGACUGUAUCGCUUGAACACGGGAAAGGUGAGUGGAAUUCCGAGUGUAGAGGUGAAAUUCGUAGAUAUUCGGAAGAACACCAGUGGCGAAGGCGGCUCACUGGACCGUAGUUGACGCUGAGGUGCGAAAGCGUGGGGAGCAA
rnacentral:rRNA from 1 species